GGUCUAGUGGUCUAGUGGUAUGAUUGCCGCUUAGGGAGUUUCUCACUUGCGGCAGGCCCCGCGUUCGAGUCGCGGCUAGACCC